UAAGUUGCUGCUGAAAAGGUUCAGAGGAGCCCCAGCCACUCUACAGAGGAAGUUGCAGAAGUUGAAAACAACCCAGUAAGCAAAGCAAUCGCUCGCCACCUGGGCAUUGACAUCUCUGCAGAAGGCCGCAUGGCCAAGACCCGGAAAGGCAUCGCCAUUAUCAUCCAUGGGACACCCUUGUCAGGAAAGACGGCCAACGCUGUCAGCAUAGCCAAGUACUACAAUGCAGCCUGCUUGAGCAUUGACUCUGUUGUCCUGGAAGCCAUAUCUGACAGCAGCAGUAUCCCUGGGAUCCGGGCCCGUGAGCUGUGCAUCAGAGCCACCAUAGAGCAGUCCAUAAAGGAAGGAGAGGACUCUACCCAGGAGGCUUCUGGGGGCCAAAGUGCCACAGUGCAGUCACG
rnacentral:lncRNA from 1 species